rnacentral:rRNA from 1 species
CCUACGGGAGGCAGCAGUGGGGAAUUUUGGACAAUGGGCGCAAGCCUGAUCCAGCAAUGCCGCGUGAGUGAAGAAGGCCUUCGGGUUGUAAAGCUCUUUUGUCAGGGAAGAAACGGUUGAGGCUAAUAUCCUCGGCUAAUGACGGUACCUGAAGAAUAAGCACCGGCUAACUACGUGCCAGCAGCCGCGGUAAUACGUAGGGUGCAAGCGUUAAUCGGAAUUACUGGGCGUAAAGCGUGCGCAGGCGGUUUUGUAAGUCUGUCGUGAAAGCCCCGGGCUUAACCUGGGAAUUGCGAUGGAGACUGCAAGGCUUGAAUCUGGCAGAGGGGGGUAGAAUUCCACGUGUAGCAGUGAAAUGCGUAGAGAUGUGGAGGAACACCGAUGGCGAAGGCAGCCCCCUGGGUCAAGAUUGACGCUCAUGCACGAAAGCGUGGGGAGCAAACAGGAUUAGAUACCCUGGUAGUCCACGCCCUAAACGAUGUCUACUAGUUGUCGGGUCUUAAUUGACUUGGUAACGCAGCUAACGCGUGAGUAGACCGCCGNGGGAGGUACGGUCGGCGAGAAGUUAAACGUAACAAAGUAGUAAGUUAGUACGGCGUGAGACGUAGACCGAACGGACGACCGACGAGGGGAGGAGGG